AGCUAGUCUGGGGUAAGUAUUGUGUUGCUUUAAUAAUUGCGUUGAUUUUUUUUUUGCUUUUCAGGUACGUUUUGUAAGGGCUAAAUUUGAGGCCCUUGUUAUUGUGUUAUUGCAGCUGGAAUGCCGCGAUUUUGGAGUCUUCAAAUUGUCAAUUAGAUAAGUAUUAUAUUAUAAAAAUAUUUUUCCCAGUAAUAGCUUGUGUUCCCUUAUUUCAAUAGUUGAGGUCUUUGAAGCUGGAGCUGUGUGCUUGUCGUCAGCAGGAUGGAGCCGUCAACUAGCGUCAGCUACCUUUUCUGUCCGGUUAAGAGAGAAUUCGUCGAUGAUGCAGAACUGAGGAGAAAUAUACAAUUUGAGGACAAAUUUUGCAGCAUAUUGAUGUGGCAUCUGUGCCACGCAAGUGGUCCUUAUUUGUGCAAUGGCGUCAGGAGAUGGAGACGGCAUCAUAAAAUUGUCAACUUUUUGUGUUUAUAAUCGCGAAAAUUGGCGAUUUAUUUUGCUUUUGUGGUGCCAGUCUCUUGUUGUCGGUUGCGUUGAAGGAUUUGCGUGCGUGGCGUCAGGAUGAUGGAAUCGCAUAUCUGUAUCUGCUUGUUUGCCUGGCAAGUUUUAAGUUUUUCUGUGUGUCCUUUAUUAAUUACGCAUCAUAUUCUUAUUGAUUUUCAUUUCUUUACAGGUUAUCGGAAGAUAAUUGGGCAUAAGAUACUGAGGAAAAUGAUGCAAUUUGGGGACGGAUUUUGAAGCUUUUAAAAGUGAUGUCAGCUCCGCGCUAGUGAUCCUUAUUAAUGCAGUGGCAUCAGGAAGUGGAGACGGCGUCUUAGGAUUUUUAAUUUUUUGUGUUUAUAAUCGCGAAAAUUGGCGAUUUCGUUCUGUUUUUGCGAAGCCCGCCUCCUCCUGUCGGUUGCGUUAGAUGUUGAUCAGCAGUUGGCUGUGGUCAAGUAGGUUUUAGCGUCAGUUCUUGUAGGCGCUCGUCAGUCUGAGUUUUGAGAGAGUAUGGAGGCAGAUAGAAGUGCGCUUUUCCAUCAGAUAAAGAUGUCGUUUUACUAGAUAUAAGUAUUUGUAAGUUUAAUUGGAUGUAUCCAUGUCAAGAUUGUUGUCUCUUCCUUGAGUAAUUAUUGCCAAUAAAAUGUCGAUUUUCUUUUCUAAA